rnacentral:rRNA from 1 species
AGAGUUUGAUCAUGGCUCAUAACGUACGCUGGCGGCACGCCUAACACAUGCAAGUCGAACGCAGUAGCAAUACUGAGUGGCAAACGGGUGGGUAUAAUGUGGGAAUCUGCCUUUUGGUUUGGAAUAACACGGGGAAACUUGUGCUAAUACCGAAUAAGCCCUUACGGGGAAAGUUUUAACGCCGAAAGAUGAGCCCGCACUUGAUUAGCUAGUUGGUAAGGUAAAAGCUUACCAAGGCAACGAUCAAUAGCUGUUCUUAGAGGAAGACCAGCCACAUUGGGACUGAGACACGGCCCAGACUCCUACGGGAGGCAGCAGUGGGGAAUCUUGCACAAUGGGGGAAACCCUGAUGCAGCGAUGCCGCGUGAGUGAAGAAGGCCCUUGGGUUGUAAAACUCUUUCGUCGGGGAAGAAAAUGACUGUACCCGAAUAAGAAGGUCCGGCUAACUUCGUGCCAGCAGCCGCGGUAAUACGAAGGGACCUAGCGUAGUUCGGAAUUACUGGGCUUAAAGAGCUCGUAGGUGGUUAAAAAAGUUGAUGGUGAAAUCCCAAGGCUCAACCUUGGAACUGCCAUCAAAACUUUUUAGCUAGAGUGUGAUAGAGGUAAGUGGAAUUUCUAGUGUAGAGGUGAAAUUCGUAGAUAUUAGAAAGAACACCAAAUGCGAAGGCAACUUACUGGGUCACUACUGACACUGAGGAGCGAAAGCAUGGGUAGCGAACAGGAUUAGAUACCCUCGUAGUCCAUGCCGUAAACGAUGUGUGCUAGACGUUGGAAAUAUAUUUUUCAGUGUCGCAGCGAAAGCAUUAAGCACACCGCCUGGGGAGUACGACCGCUAGGUUAAACUCAAUGAAUUGACGGGGACCGCACAGCAGUGAAGCAUG